GAAAGAACAAAAAUCUCAUGAACUAGGCUUAAAAAAUAGUUUUCUUUGGGCUCCUGAGCAUUCCUGUUGAGUAGUGAAUACUCACUGGAGUGUUGAGCACUACUCACAGGAUUAAAACUAAAUCUGGUGCAGGUGUUGGUUACUUUGAUCUGUGCUUGAUUAGAGAAUCAGGUGUGUGUUAAGUGACUGGAUGAGAGCUUGUCUUUUGGAGUCUCAACACUUACACACUCUCCUUUUGUACAACCCUGUCAAAAAGGUUCCCUUGGCUUGUUUUUCGCAUCUGUCUUCCCUUUGUUCCCCUCACAUGAAAGAACCCUGAACUGCAAGUCAGAUCUUUCUUAAAAGAGCUCCUUCAUUCCAGCCUUUGCUGUUGGUACGAUACAGAGGCUCCCAGCUGGGGUUAGAGUUCUGGUGGAAGAAAUAACUUUGGAUGGGGAGAAAGGAGAGCGGAGUUUUGAGCAGAGAGAGAAGCCAGCAGAGGCAGCAUCAGUCUCACGUGGCACAGCAGAGACCAGCACCCAAAUAUUGCUUUCUGUUCCAGAGCUCCAGGCAUUAUGAGAUUUCCUUUCCUAAACACAACAACUCCAAAUGUUCCUCCCUGUGCUUCUCUUCCACAGGAGCCACCUCGAGAAAGGUUAUUUUGGGAGUGCCUUGGGAUUGAAGGCCGUUCAGACAGGGCUGAUGGCUCAUUUCUUUCUCUGUGGUGAAAAGGUCAGGCUGCUGCAGGUGACCUUUCUGCUGGGAAAGCUGCAGGUCUGCGUGCUGCCUUUUUGCUGUCCCGUGUGGAGGGAUUGCUCCACAGAUUCCACAUGAUCAGGUUCCGUGCUUCCCUUGCUGUUUUCACUUCCAUUUAUAUUUAGGCAGAGCUCUGGAAGUGUUGAAAGGGAUUGUUGGAAGCAAUGACAUCAGUUGUUCCUCCUUUGUGGUUGGGGCAGUUGCUACUGAAAUAACCAGGGCAGGACAAUUUUAAUCUGCAGCUGCUCCUGAGGGGCCACCAGCCCCUUCCCCUUUGUCUUCAGCUCUGCACUGUUUCCUUCCCUGUGCAGUGAGGACAAGGAUCCUGGCUUUCCUUGUCAAAUCCAGAUCCCUUAGCUGUGAGCUCAGAGGCUCCUGAGGAAUUCCACCAUGCAGGGACCAGGCAGCUCUUGGGAGCAGCGGUGUCUUUGAGAGGAAAGUAAAUAUUGCAGAUGCUGCACGAGGGGCUUUGCAGCUCUUGCCACAAAUCUGGGAAGCUUGAGGGACCAGAGGGAGUAAUCAUCUGCUCUGAUGAUUCCUGCAGGAGCUGGAGAGUCCAGUUAAGCAAUUUCAGAAGACAUUCAGGGUCUAUUUGGUGCUGUGAAACAUCUUUAAUUCUCCCAUUGCCACAGCAGGAUUCACAGCAACUGAAGAACUGACAACUUUUAUGGUUUCUCCAAGUGCAACUUUUUUUGAUCAUGCCACAAUUAAUAAAAAAUUUCAUAGAGAAUCA
rnacentral:lncRNA from 1 species